CCUACGGGGGGCAGCAGUGAGGAAUAUUGGUCAAUGGACGCAAGUCUGAACCAGCCAAGUCGCGUGAAGGAUGACUGCCCUACGGGUUGUAAACUUCUUUUGUACGGGAGUAAACUCAGACACGCGUACCUUUCUGAAUGUACCUUAUGAAUAAGGAUCGGCUAACUCCGUGCCAGCAGCCGCGGUAAUACGGAGGAUUCGAGCGUUAUCCGGAUUUAUUGGGUUUAAAGGGUGCGUAGGUGGGGUGUUAAGUCAGUUGUGAAAUUGUGAGGCUCAACCGUGGAAUUGCAAUUGAUACUGGCCGGCUUGAGAGGAGUUGAGGUAGGCGGAAUGCGUGGUGUAGCGGUGAGAUGCUUAGAGAUCACGAAGAACUCCGAUUGCGAAGGCAGCUUACUAAGCUGCCACUGACGUUGAGGCACGAAAGCGUGGGUAUCAAACAGGAUUAGAUACCCCUGUAGUC
rnacentral:rRNA from 1 species